UACGGAGGGGGCCAGCGUUGUUCGGAAUUAUUGGGCGUAAAGGGCGCGUAGGCGGCUCGGUAAGUCCGUUGUGAAAUCCCUCGGCUCAACCGAGGAACUGCGACGGAUACUGCUUGGCUUGAGUCCCGGAGAGGGUAGCGGAAUUCCCAGUGUAGCGGUGAAAUGCGUAGAUAUUGGGAGGAACAUCGGUGGCGAAGGCGGCUACCUGGACGGGUACUGACGCUGAUGCGCGAAAGCUAGGGGAGCAAACAGG
rnacentral:rRNA from 1 species